CUUGGUCAGGACGAACGCUGGCGGCGUGCCUAAUACAUGCAAGUCGAACGGUCUUUCUAUGGAAGCUUGCUUCCACUGAGAAGAUAGUGGCGAACGGGUGAGUAACACGUGGGUAACCUGCCCAUAAGAGGGGGAUAACAUCCGGAAACGGGUGCUAAUACCGCAUAGUUUUCUUGAUCGCAUGAUUGAGAAAGGAAAGACGGCCUUUGUGCUGUCGCUUAUGGAUGGACCCGCGGCGUAUUAGUUAGUUGGUGAGGUAGCGGCUCACCAAGACGAUGAUACGUAGCCGACCUGAGAGGGUGAUCGGCCACAUUGGGACUGAGACACGGCCCAAACUCCUACGGGAGGCAGCAGUAGGGAAUCUUCCGCAAUGGACGAAAGUCUGACGGAGCAACGCCGCGUGAGUGAAGAAAGGUUUUCGGAUCGUAAAACUCUGUUGUCAGAGAAGAACAAGUUGGAGAGUAACUGCUCCAGCCUUGACGGUAUCUGACCAGAAAGCCACGGCUAACUACGUGCCAGCAGCGGC
rnacentral:rRNA from 1 species